GGCGGCGUGCUUGACACAUCCAAGUCGAACGGUAUGUGGCAACCCAUAGAGUGGCGAACGGAUGAGUAACACGUGGGAACGUACCUUGGGCAGGGGGAUAACUGACCGAAAGGACAGCUAAUACCGCAUAAGACCGAGAGGAGAAAGGUGCAACAGCAUCGGCAAAGGAGCGGCCCGCGGACCAUCAGCUAGUUGGUGGGGUAAGAUCCUACCAAGGCAACGACGGAUAACCGGCGUGAGAGCGUGGCCGGCCACAAGGACACUGAGAUACGGGUCCUACUCCUACGGGAGGCAGCAGUNNGGAAUUUUAGAUAANGGAGGCAACUGUGAUCUAGUGACGCCGGGUGCAGGAAGAAGGUNUUCGGAUUGUAAAGUGCUGUGGUAAGGGAAAAAUGCCAUGUAGAGUGAAA
rnacentral:rRNA from 1 species